rnacentral:rRNA from 1 species
CUCCUACGGGAGGCAGCAGUAGGGAAUUUUCGGCAAUGGGGGCAACCCUGACCGAGCAACGCCGCGUGAGUGAAGACGGCCUUCGGGUUGUAAAGCUCUGUUGUAAGGGAAGAACGGUAGAUAGAGAAUAUCUAAGUGACGGUACCUUACCAGAAAGCCACGGCUAACUACGUGCCAGCAGCCGCGGUAAUACGUAGGUGGCGAGCGUUAUCCGGAAUUAUUGGGCGUAAAGGGUGCGUAGGCGGCCUGUUAAGUAAGUGGUUAAAUUGUUGGGCUCAACCCAAUCCAGCCACUUAAACUGGCAGGCUAGAGUAUUGGAGAGGCAAGUGGAAUUCCAUGUGUAGCGGUAAAAUGCGUAGAUAUAUGGAGGAACACCAGUGGCGAAGGCGGCUUGCUAGCCAAAGACUGACGCUCAUGCACGAAAGCGUGGGGAGCAAAUAGGAUUAGAUACCCUAGUAGUCCACGCCGUAAACGAUGAAUACUAAGUAUUGGGGAAACUCAGUGCUGCAGCUAACGCAAUAAGUAUUCCGCCUGUGGAGUAUGCACGCAAGUGUGAAACAUAAAGGAAUUGACGGGGGCCCGCACAAGCGGUGGAGUAUGUGGUUUAAUUCGACGCAACGCGAAGAACCUUACCAGGCCUUGACAUCCCUUGCAAAGCUGUAGAGAUACAGUAGAGGUUAUCAAGGAGACAGGUGGUGCAUGGUUGUCGUCAGCUCGUGUCGUGAGAUGUUGGGUUAAGUCCCGCAACGAGCGCAACCCUUGCCUUCAGUUACCAGCAUUUAGUUGGGGACUCUGGAGGGACUGCCGGUGAUAAACCGGAGGAAGGUGGGGAUGACGUCAAAUCAUCAUGCCCCUUAUGGCCUGGGCUACACACGUACUACAAUGGCUGUUACAACGUGCAGCGACCUAGCGAUAGGAAGCGAAUCACUAAAAGACAGUCUCAGUUCGGAUUGAAGUCUGCAACUCGACUUCAUGAAGCUGGAAUCGUCUAGUAAUCGCGGAUCAGAAUGCCGCGGUGAAUACGUUCUCGGGCCUUGUACACACCGC